CAACCAGUUCUCAUCAGUCUGCGUAUAAAUAACACGACUUUACACUUUCUAUUUGCGUGUAAUGCAUACGCCAAAUGCCAUUUUUGCGUGCAUAUGAUACGCCAAUCCUUCCCAUUAAUUUCGGUGGAGAGCAGAUGCGUCCAAAUAACACGCAUCAUCUUCAGCGGCAGUGACGUCACCAGCGAGGCUCGUUCAGUUCACCUGAUGCGCGUACACCUUCAAACAGGUAAGCAAGGGUAAAUAUAUUUUUUUCUUCUUCUUUUUGUAAUGAUAUCACGUGGUUAAGCGUAUUGUUUUAAUUAUUUCAGUAUUUCUGCAUCACGUUAGACAGGGCCGUGUUUUUAAAGGGCAGUUUAUGCUCAAAUUAUGGGUCAGUGGGCUGCUCAGCUAGCCUACCAUUGUCAUUAGCCUAAGCUAACCUGUACUGUUUAUAGACCUGUUGCAGUUUUAAAUAAAUUUAUGAUGGGUCUUCAGCUUUUAGACAUGACUAAUACAAGCACAACAAAGCACCCAACCCAAUAUCGCGUGAUAAUCGUGAUCGUGUAAAAAGUCCACACAUUUAGCAUAUUUUUACAAUACUAGCCUAACUUUUGCUUGACCACGUCAUGUGUAGCCAAUACACACACAGUAACUACAGCAUAUUUACCAUGCUUCUCCUACUGUAACCAUAGUUUUACUCUGGUAUUUGUAGUUACUAACACACAAUAACCACGACAUUUACUAUGGGUUUACCAUAGUAACCAUAGUUUUACUCUGGUAUUUGUAGUUACUAACACACAAUAACCACGACAUUUACUAUGGGUUUACCAUAGUAACCAUAGUUUUACUCUGGUAUUUGUAGUUACUAACACACAAUAACCACGACAUUUACUAUGGGUUUACCAUAGUAACCAUAGUUUUACUCUGGUAUUUGUAGUUACUAACACACAAUAACCACGGCAUUUACUAUGGGUUUACCAUAGUAACCAUAGUUUUACUCUGGUAUUUGUAGUUACUAACACACAAUAACCACAACACUUACCAGGAUUUUACCACAGUAACUGUGUUUUUACUCUACACUAUUUGUAAAGCACAGUAACCACUAAGUUUGCCAUGCCUUUAAUAUCUUUUUGUGAUGUAAUUGUAAUUCAGUGUUUUUUCUGUCUUGCAGUUACGUCGGAUUACAUACUCCACAACAACCUGUAAUCCAGCAGAUCUUUAAAGAAGCCAUCUCUUGUAAAAUCUCUCUCUCUCUCUCUCUCUCUCUCUCUCUCUCUCGCUCUGCUAGAAUUAACAGGGAACUUCAACUCCACGCUCCCAAUGCUGAUAUUGAAGAAGCUGUCAAGGGGGCUGAACAAGUCCUUCAAGGGAUCAACCCUUCACAGGAAGGCCUGUCAUGAGAUUUGAAUUUGACCAUCUUGUGCAUUUAUGAAGAAGACCAAAAGCUGCAAAGGCAAACACUUCCAAUGGAUUUCUCACAGAUUACUUAAUCAUUCUUCAUCAGCUCUUCACAAUAUCAGCCCAUUCAAAAGCUUCCAGAUCUUCCUCUCUUGUGUGACACAUCUGCUCUCAGUCCUUUACUGCCAACCUCUACAUUCAUCACUCCAAUCUCUACUAUAAGCACUCCUGUAUAUAUAUAUAUAUAUAUAUACACAUAAUAAUAAUUAUUAUUAUUAACCAUUUAUUUGUUUUGCAUUUAUUCACAAUAGAAGCAAACAAUGAUUACAGGAUAUAUGUUUUUAAAGGUGAUAAUUGUAAAAUAUUGGAGCAUUGUUCUUAAUCAUUUUUGCCUAUUUGGUUGAUAAAGGGAAGAAAACAAUAUAUUUUCAACUGUAACCUUGAUUAUUCUUUGGCAUCUUUUGUCAGGAUUUCUGUAAACAAAUUCCCUUUUUAUUUUUGAAUAUUAAACUUAUGUUUUUUGAAGGGAGUUUCUGUUGCAAUUGUGUUUGUUUGUUUUCACUUAGUUACCUCUAUGCAUUUUUUUUUAUCAACUUUUCUUUUUUUUCAUAGUGGAAUAAACUGGAGAGAGACUGUUCUGGGCACUAUGUUUAUCUGCGAAAAGUUUGACAUAUCAAUAAACACUGUAAAAUGACUAGACAAUGAGUGAUUGAUGUCAUGAUGUUUGUUUGUUUGUUUUCUAUUCCUAUAGUUCAACUGGUGGAUCUAAGAAUGGCAAGUUUUUAGGGUCCAUUUCCAUGAAACGUAGAUGUGAUAAA